rnacentral:rRNA from 1 species
UGCAAGUCGAGCGGACUUAAAAAGCUUGCUUUUUAAGUUAGCGGCGGACGGGUGAGUAACACGUGGGCAACCUGCCUGUAAGACUGGGAUAACUUCGGGAAACCGGAGCUAAUACCGGAUAAUCCUUUUCUACUCAUGUAGAAAAGCUGAAAGACGGUUUACGCUGUCACUUACAGAUGGGCCCGCGGCGCAUUAGCUAGUUGGUGAGGUAACGGCUCACCAAGGCGACGAUGCGUAGCCGACCUGAGAGGGUGAUCGGCCACACUGGGACUGAGACACGGCCCAGACUCCUACGGGAGGCAGCAGUAGGGAAUCUUCCGCAAUGGACGAAAGUCUGACGGAGCAACGCCGCGUGAGUGAUGAAGGUUUUCGGAUCGUAAAACUCUGUUGUUAGGGAAGAACAAGUACGAGAGUAACUGCUCGUACCUUGACGGUACCUAACCAGAAAGCCACGGCUAACUACGUGCCAGCAGCCGCGGUAAUACGUAGGUGGCAAGCGUUGUCCGGAAUUAUUGGGCGUAAAGCGCGCGCAGGCGGUCCUUUAAGUCUGAUGUGAAAGCCCACGGCUCAACCGUGGAGGGUCAUUGGAAACUGGGGGACUUGAGUGCAGAAGAGAAGAGUGGAAUUCCACGUGUAGCGGUGAAAUGCGUAGAGAUGUGGAGGAACACCAGUGGCGAAGGCGACUCUUUGGUCUGUAACUGACGCUGAGGCGCGAAAGCGUGGGGAGCAAACAGGAUUAGAUACCCUGGUAGUCCACGCCGUAAACGAUGAGUGCUAAGUGUUAGAGGGUUUCCGCCCUUUAGUGCUGCAGCAAACGCAUUAAGCACUCCGCCUGGGGAGUACGGCCGCAAGGCUGAAACUCAAAGGAAUUGACGGGGGCCCGCACAGCGGUGGAGCAUGUGGUU